rnacentral:rRNA from 1 species
CGUAGGGUGCGAGCGUUAAUCGGAAUUACUGGGCGUAAAGCGUGCGCAGGCGGUUUAGUAAGACAGGCGUGAAAUCCCCGGGCUCAACCUGGGAACUGCGCUUGUGACUGCUAAGCUAGAGUACGGCAGAGGGGGUGGAAUUCCACGUGUAGCAGUGAAAUGCGUAGAGAUGUGGAGGAACACCAAUGGCGAAGGCAGCCCCCUGGGUCGAUACUGACGCUCAUGCACGAAAGCGUGGGUAGCAAACAGGAUUAGAUACCCUGGUAGUCCACGCCCUAAACGAUGUCAACUAGGUGUUGGGAGGGUAAACCUUUAGUACCGGAGCUAACGCGUGAAGUUGACCGCCUGGGGAUACGGCCGCAAGGUUA